GUGGUCUAGUAGUCAGUGCGUCAGCCUCGCAUGCAGAAGGUCGUGGGUUCGAUCCCCAGAAUAGUCA